UGUUAAAAAUUUUAUCCAUUUGUACUAUUAAAAACUGACGUGGCUGAAGGAAUAACAAGACAGUAACUCAUGAUGUGUCACGUCCACCUCAUGCCAACGUACAAUGACCAGUUUUGUAACAGUAUAAAUGGAUGAAAUUUUAACA
rfam:Gossypium raimondii Chr08_contig_1305, whole genome shotgun sequence.